GGAACAGGUCAUGGAUACCUGGAAAUCAGGAGAGAUCUGACAGGAAAGUUAAAACCUAUAGGAGAAGGAAUAAUCUGCACUUUCUCUCUGGCUCCCAGGUUGUAACUCCUGAGAAAAGAACCUAGAGAGGAAGUGAAAGCUGAGGACUCCAGUGGGCUUCAGGGAGAAAUGCAGCAGUGGAAUGGACCAGUGGAUGCUGUGAGCUGAAACAACCGGGUUAAAGGUGGUACAUAAUUCAUUCUUUUGAUUGGACUUCUCCCACCCUUAAGGAAGCAGCAUGAUUGGUGGCAGUGAUCUCAACUCCAAACACACGGAGAUGGCUUGCGUGGUAACCUAAUAGACGUUCCUCAGGUGGCUUGGAGGUCUGGAAUUCGGCUGUUAAAGGAAGAAUGCCUGUAAUGUACUUAUUCAAACCUUAUCUGUGACAACUGCAGACUCCUGGGGACGAGAUGACUCCAUCCAAAUCCCUGCACUCUGCCCUGACCCAGCUCCAGCACGCUUCCAUCAGGAUGAGGCCACGUGCCUCGCACGACCCCAC
ensembl:lncRNA